rnacentral:rRNA from 1 species
GGAGUUUGGACCGUGUCUCAGUUCCAAUGUGGGGGACCUUCCUCUCAGAACCCCUACUGAUCGCGGGCUCGGUGGGCCGUUACCCCCGCCGACAACCUAAUCAGACGCAUCCCCAUCCCUCAGCGAUAAAUCUUUAUUCCUAAUCAGAUGCCUUCAAAGGAAACCAUAAGGUAUUAAUCCAUCUUUCGAUGGGCUAUCCCUUACUCAGGGGCAGGUUGGAUACGCGUUACUCACCCAUUCGCCGGUCGACGCCU